rnacentral:rRNA from 1 species
GAUGAACGCUGGCGGCGUGCCUAAUACAUGCAAGUAGGACGCAGUUGCGAACGGGGGAGUAACGCGUAGGUAACUACCUAUUAGAGGGGGAUAACUAUUGGAAACGAUAGCUAAUACCGCAUACUAGUAGAUGGACCUGCGUUGUAUUAGCUAGUAGGUAGGGUAAUGGCCUACCUAGGCAACGAUACAUAGCCGACCUGAGAGGGUGAUCGGCCACACUGGGAAUUGGACAAGGCCCAGACCUCUACGGGAGGCAGCAGGAGGGAAUCUUCGGAAAUGGGGGGAACCCUGACCGAGCAAAGCCGGGGUGGUGAAGGAGGUUUUCGGAUCGUAAAGCUCUGUUGUUAAGGAAGCGGUACUUAACCAGAAAGGGACGGCUAACUACGUGCCAGCAGCCGCGGUAAUUC